rnacentral:rRNA from 1 species
UACGAAGGGGGCUAGCGUUGUUCGGAAUUACUGGGCGUAAAGCGUGCGCAGGCGGCUUCUCAAGUCAGGGGUGAAAGCCCAGAGCUCAACUCUGGAAUUGCCUUUGAGACUGAGUGGCUUGAGUACGAGAGAGGUGAGUGGAAUUCCCAGUGUAGAGAUGAAAUUCGUAGAUAUUGGGAAGAACACCGGUGGCGAAGGCGGCUCACUGGCUCGUAACUGACGCUCAUGCACGACAGCGUGGGGAUCAAACAGG